ensembl:lincRNA
CAGUAUUAGGCUCCCAACUACAGCUUUCCCCGAUGGCUCAUCGUGUAAGGAAUUUGCCUGCAAUACGGGAGACACAGGAGAUGCGGGUUUGAUCCCAGGGUGGGGAAGAUCCCUUGGAGAAGGAAAUGGCAACCCACUCCAGUUUUCUUGCCUGGAGAAUCCCCCUGGACAGAAGAGCCUGGCAGGUUACAGUCCAUGGGGUCACAAAGAUUCGGACAUGACUGGGCACAAGGCACAUGCUGAGGCAUGCUAUAGGAUACACCUGUAGUCCUGGGUCAGGAGGGGAUUGUCUGCCAUCUGGUGGAAGAAGAAGCCCUGCCCCUGAUGGUAAAUGGGGCAAAGAACUGUAAUGUCAUCAACAAGGAUCUCAUUGAUGAUUUCCUCCAACCUCCUUGCUUCCUCCUUCUGCCCCUCACCCCUCCACUUACCUUUUCCCUCCUUUGCUCCAGGGCAAUCUCAUCCUUUGUGAGUGAAGUUUUUUUUUUUUUUUUUCCCUUCCCCCAGCCCCCUGGGAAUGCUGACUUCAGAGAUCUGGGCCUGAGGUUGUAUAAAUGCCCUGUGGAGUUGCAGUCCAGCACUCUUGGCCUCCCCACCUCUGCCAGCCUCCUGGGCUCUCUGCCCAGCACCACCAGCAUCAUGCUCCGGCAAGCCCUUCUCCUCUCCACCUGCUUCGCUCUGGUUAUGACUUACCCUGCACUGCUUCAGGAAUUCAUCGCUGACUUAGAGCCAGCCAUUGACAUAGAGUACACUGGCCUUGAGUCAGCCAGUGGCUUAGAGUUAAACACUGACCUGGAACUGACCACUGGCCUAGAGUCAACCACUGGCCCCACUUACCUGGAGUCAACCACUGUCCCCACUGACCUGGAAUCAACAACUGUCCUAGAGUCAACCACGGGUCUAGAGUCAACAACUGGCUUAGAGUCGACAACUGGCCUAGAGUCGACAGCUGGCCCCACUGACCUGGAGCUGACAGUUGGCCUAGAGUUAACCACUGGCCCCACUGACUUGGAGUUAACCACUGGCCCAGAGUCAGCCACUGGCCACACUAACCUGGAGUCAAUCACAGACCUUGAGUCAACCUCUGGUCUAGAGUUGACUACUGGCCCCACUGACCUGGCGUCGACCACUGGCCUAGAGUCAGCCACUGGCUGCACUAACCUGGAGUCAAUCACAGACCUAGAGUCAACCUCUGGCCUAGAGUUGACUGCUGGCCCCAAUGACCUGGAGUCGACCACUGGCCUACAGUCAACCACUGGCCUGCAGUCAACUGUUAGCCCCACUGACCUGGAGUCGACCACUCACCUACAGUCAACCAUUGGCUUAGAGUCUACCGCUGGCCUAUCAGAAUUGACUACUCACCAUGACUUCACUGAAGAUGCAGAAACAACCACUGAAUUGUAUUUGGAGAACACACAGACUUUUGAAGGUGUCACUGCUGGUUGGUUAUUCUGAAGAGCCUGUGACAGAAGCAUGAGAUGACCCAGUAUCUCCACAGGAAAGAACAAGUCCAAUGCAGUUUUUUUUGGUAAGUUUCUUCUCUCUUGUCUCCGAUACCUUAUUAGGAAUUUCAUACCAUUUUCAAUGCUGGUAUUAAUCCACUUGGAAAGGAUUCCAAUUUAAAACUUUCAAGAUGCUAAGAUCAGCUAUAAUUUUAAUAUGGAGAUGAAAGUCAGCUUCUUUCCUCUCUGAGGUUUACCUUCCAAGUCUAGCUGUCUGGAUUUUCAGUCAUCGAAUAGGCAUAGGAUAAACAAGUUCUCUCCUCUGAGUUUUCCAAGAUUUCCUGUCUCUCUAAUAUGAGGAUUCUAGUCCAGUCCCUGGAAUGUUUUUAACGGACAGCCUGAGGAAAAGGCAUCAGAUUUUCUGAUUUAUAAAUAUAUAUAAUUCAAUUAAAAGUCAUACAACCCAGAAGCUCUCAAUUAAGAGGUCCCCGUUUUAAUACUCUGCCUCACUUCUGGCUUUUUGGGAAAUUUCUAAAGUGAUUUCUUCAUGUAGUAAAAUGUAAACCUGGACGGUGUACAGGUAUAUUGCUUAAGGCUCAGAGAAGAGGAGGGAGAAUAAGGAAUUUGCACCUUUAAGAAAUUAAGUCAUAUGCUCAUGGUCACAGUGGGAAAUUGGAAAGAUGAGCCUGAUCUUUUGAACACUAGAUUCUUGUCUCUUGGGAACUCAUGUUUUUUUUUUUUUUUUUUUUUCGUUUUGUUUUUCAGUUUAGAAAAUGAAGCAGAUUCUCAUACCUGUGACUGUUGCUCUAUUAACCACAAUUUUCCAAGAAGGUUCUGAGCCUUUGAACAAGACUUCCAUUCCAUCAUAGGAGCUUGGAUAAUUCUAAAAGACUAGUGAGACACGGAAUGUACCCACUUGAGGAUAAACAGAGUGGCAGAGAUUGACAAUACACAAACAGAAGAAAGGCAUCUCUCAAACAUGUCGCAUUUAAAACAGGCUCAAUAAAUAUUUAUUUGCACUGACUGAAUUUUGAGGAGGGAGGUUAUUUUACAAGGCAACAUAUUGCUUAGUUGCCUUGUUUUAAUGCCAGUAACCAUUUUAUUCCUCUCUGAUACACACUUUAUGUUGUUUAGUUGCUGAGUCCUGUCCAACUCUUUGCAACCCCAUGAACUGCAGCAUGCCAGAAUUUUCUGUCCUUCACUAUCUCCCAGUUUGCUCAAACUCAUGUCCAUUGAGUUGAUGAUGUCAUCCAACCAUCUCAUUCCCUGUUGUCCCCUUCUCUGCCUAUCCUCAAUCUUUCCCAGCAUUAGGGUCUUUUCCAAUGAGUCAGCUCUUCACAUCAGGUGGCCAAAGUAUUGGAGCUUCAACUUCAGCAUCAGUCCUUCCAGUGAAUAUUCAGGGCUGAUUUCCUUUAGGAUUGACUGGUUUGAUCUUUUUGCCAUCCAAGGGACUCUGCAAUCAGACACUAACUCUUUCCAGCCACAGCAAAGUAUGAAAUCAGCCUAUGGAAAAUAUAUUGGUGUUUCCAUUCCUAGUAUAACAAAUUACCACAAACAUAGUAGAUUAAAAUAAUAUAUAAACCUCUUAUCUUAUAGUUUUGUAACUCACAAUUCUGAAAGGUAUCUCACUGAGUUUAAGACAAUGUGUUGGCAGGGCUGAGUUCCUUUCUGGAGACUUGUUGGAAGAAUCAAUUUCCUUUCCCACUUUCCAUAGCCCUCUUAUGUCUUUGAAGCCAGCAAAAGUUGACUGAUUCUCACAAUAUAUCACAGAGUCACCAACACCUACCAUGCUGCCCCUUGCUUCCACAUCUGAGCCCCCACCUUGAUAAUCUAGGAAAAUCUCUUAUUUCAAGGUCAAUUGAUUAAUGACCUUUAUUCCUCCCUUUACUGUGUAAUUUAACAUAUUCAUUGGGCAAGAAUGACACAAAAGUUUGUAAAAUGUUCCAUAAAAAGUAUUGUAUAGAAUUAAAGUGUAUGGUACAAUGAUUUGAUAUACCCAUGCAUAGUGAAAGGAUUACCAUAAUGAAGUUGAUUAACAUAUCUGUCACUUUUUUUUUUAAAGGAUGAAAAUUUCUAAGAUGAUAGUAUAUAAUGAGAAAAGAAUCUAAAACAAAACUAGAGGAAUUCCAUAAUUUCAUGGCUAAAUGUAAACAGAUGCAUCUGCAAAGGACAUGCAAGGCUUUAAUUCCUAGACAGUGGGAAUCAGGAUUUUGUAUUCAUCCUUACAUCCUAAACUCCUAGUAGAAUAGCUGGUGUAUAGGAGGGAC